rnacentral:miRNA from 1 species
AAGUGUAUAAGUGGAGUGCCU